GGAGCUUUCAUCAGCUUAUAACAAACGAGGGACUCAUGUUUCUCCACCUGGAUCUGGAAUGGACUGGAGAGAAACAGCAGGGAGCUGUGAGCAGCUGGCGGCAGGAGCCACCCUGCUCUUAGCAGCACUAGUUGGCUGCUGAGUGGCCCCUAUUUGACUCUUUUGUUGUUGCUCCCUAUAUGACCCUUCCUCCUCUCCCCCAUCUCCUUCCCUUCCCUUCCUUUCCCUUCCCUUCCCUUCCCUUCCCUUCCCUUCCCUUCCCUUCCCCCUCCUUCCCUUCCUUCCUUUUCUUUCUUUUUUCUUUUCAGUUUCUGCUUUUCACACAGGAUCUCACAUAGCCCAGGCUGGCCUUGAAUGUACCACAUAGAGGGGCUGAGUAUUGCACAGCUACCCACAGCAACACUACCUGCUCCAGAGACAAUGAAGCUGAAGAAUGUCUUGCAGAAGGAAAAUGCCUCUCAGCCCUGAAACUAGGAACACUAAAGAGGGUCAAAGCACAAGACAUCCAUCCCUAGCCAGUGUUCCCACCCGUGGAGAAAGUGAGAGUACACUGAGUGGCCUGUCCCAUCCAGAGUUUUUCUAGUCAUUUCCUCUGUGACUUGAAUUUCCUCAAGAGAAUAAACUCAGAUGUGAUUGGAAGAAGGCUCCUUCUGGAGACACGCCUCCAUGUGUUACACCAUCUGCUUCAAGUUCAGGCCACCAUGCCUUUCUCUCCAUGAUGAACUGUAUCUUCAACCUGCAAGCCUAAGUAAACAUUUCUUAAUUAGGGUGCUUUUCUGGAGUAUUUUGUAACAACAAGAAAAAUCUCUAACUUUGUGGUGUCUGAAAUUUUCCCUUUCGGAGAACUAAAGGCUUUUACCUAGGUAAACAAAUGUUAACUGUGUUGGAGUUCGUCAAAAGACUCUCACUCACAAAGACCAUGGAGACAGCCAUCGCUGCAAACCACAUGAGAGAAUUUUUAUUGAUCUAACAUGUUGGGGACUCCCCUCUCAGCAUGCAGGCCAGAGGAGAGACCCAGAACAAAGAAAGACAUACUUUUUACUCCUUUGUAAGUGGCAGAUUUGGUCAACAGGGCAGCUGACUUAUUCUAAUUGAUGUAGCAAGUAACCUUUUCAGCCAUUGGUUGGUUUGUAUAGUGACUACCUUUGGCCUAGUGACUCAUUUUUCUUGCCCCCAUGGUAGGUUAUUAUGAUUUGGUCAGCAAAGUAAUAGUACAUUUUGAACUUAUGAGUCAGCUAUUAACGUCACAGCUAUUAACAUCACAGCUAUCAACAUGGUUAGGGUGGUUUGUGUGUGUGUGUGUGUGUGUGUGUGUGUGUGUGUGUGUGUUUUUUUUCUCAGAAUUCAGUGUGGGGCAGGGGAAUUGCUAAUCUUGUUAUGGUUAUUUCUCUGAGAACAGCUAAUAUUUUUCUGGCAGCUGUAGACUUAAUUAUUUUGACAGCUAAAACUAUGUUUCUAUGUUUGUUUAGUCAGCCAGCUUCUUUAUCUGGCUCUGCACUUGGCCUGUUAGUACAGUUUGGGAAGUCCUUUUUGAAGGGGGAAGGUACUGGGUUGUCUUGAAUUCAUUUUGGAUAUUAUAACUGAACAUGUUGCUGUAUCCUAAAAUUCCAGCACAUGGGACACUCAGGCAGGGGGAUCCUGAGUUGAUCAACCUUAAGUUGAUCAUGAGUUGUAAGUAAUCUGAGUAGUCAUGAGUUGAUUAAGACCAACUUGAGUUAUGUUGUCAGACCACAUCUCAGAACAUCUCACCCUCAGAUCAUAAAUAAAUAGAGAUAAUAUUUCUGUGUUUACUGACUUCCUCUCUCUGAUAGUCUCCGUGAGAAUGUGAGAAGGCUAGAAACUCAGCCCAACGCAAAAAAGUUUUCUGUGCCUGUGGAAGGUAAACGCACACACACACAAAAAACAAAAACCAAAAAAACCUCCAAAAACCCAAAGCACUGUGUUCUUUUAAGCUUUGGUGGGGUAAGCCAUAUUAAGAGGUUGGAAGUCUUUAAUUCUUGUUAUUUAUAUAUUAGCUCCAGGUAAAAUGCUCUCAAACAGACUCUGAACUCAAAUGCCACUUACUUCAAGGUCCUUAGCUUCUUGCUAGCAUCCCCUAAAAAAUAAUCAAGUGUUUGUUCAAGUUGAUAUGGUCCUUGAUGUUGAACAGGGCCAGUUUACACGGUUAAUUUUAUAUAAAAAUUUUGGUAAAGCCUAGGAAUUCCCUUGUGGCUGAAAUGAUGGCUUUCCUGUCACGUUCCUAUAAUGGUUAUUAUAAUUAGUCUCAAAGUACUAACUUUAGCACAUGCACUAAUGUCCCUGCUUUAGUUGUACCAUAGUAAAUAUGGCUAAGUCUGGGUUUUACCCUUAACAAUGUCUGUGACUUUUGGAAGCAAUUUUCUACUGUUCAAUUUUGUUCAGCUUUCUUCAAGGACCCUAUGAAUCUGGGAUAUAACACUAUAGAGAGAUGGACAGUGAAGCUAGCCAUGGAACUCCGAAAAGGUUUGGUGGCUUGUAAUGAAGUACUUAUGAAACAAAAUUCAGUCAGUGAUAGGGGAUUUCCUAGGAAUCAAAUUAUCCUCAGACACCAGAGUGAUUAAGCUGAGAAUAUACGUUACAUUGGAGAGUCAAGAAUAAGUGGAAAUAACUACAUGCCCUCUUCAUGCAUCCAUCAACAAGUUGAACUUACUAAAAUAAAGUAUU